GAUGAACGCUGGCGGCGUGCUUAACACAUGCAAGUCGAGCGAGAAAAGUUCUUCGGAGCUUUUCUAGCGGCGGACGGGUGAGUAACACGUGGGCAACCUGCCUCAUAGAGGGGAAUAGCCUUCCGAAAGGAAGAUUAAUACCGCAUAAUAUUGUUGAAAGGCAUCUUUUAACAAUCAAAGGAGCAAUCCGCUAUGAGAUGGGCCCGCGGCGCAUUAGCUAGUUGGUGAGGUAAUGGCUCACCAAGGCGACGAUGCGUAGCCGACCUGAGAGGGUGAUCGGCCACAUUGGAACUGAGACACGGUCCAGACUCCUACGGGAGGCAGCAGUGGGGAAUAUUGCACAAUGGGGGAAACCCUGAUGCAGCAACGCCGCGUGAGUGAUGAAGGUCUUCGGAUUGUAAAGCUCUGUCUUUAGGGACGAUAAUGACGGUACCUAAGGAGGAAGCCACGGCUAACUACGUGCCAGCAGCCGCGGUAACAC
rnacentral:rRNA from 1 species